rnacentral:rRNA from 1 species
ACGUGGUAUCCUGUCUGAAUAUGGGGGGACCAUCCUCCAAGGCUAAAUACUCCUGACUGACCGAUAGUGAACCAGUACCGUGAGGGAAAGGCGAAAAGAACCCCGGCGAGGGGAGUGAAAAAGAACCUGAAACCGUGUACGUACAAGCAGUGGGAGCACAGAGCAAUCUGUGUGACUGCGUACCUUUUGUAUAAUGGGUCAGCGACUUAUAUUCUGUAGCAAGGUUAACCGAAUAGGGGAGCCGAAGGGAAACCGAGUCUUAACUGGGCGUUAAGUUGCAGGGUAUAGACCCGAAACCCGGUGAUCUAGCCAUGGGCAGGUUGAAGGUUGGGUAACACUAACUGGAGGACCGAACCGACUAAUGUUGAAAAAUUAGCGGAUGACUUGUGGCUGGGGGUGAAAGGCCAAUCAAACCGGGAGAUAGCUGGUUCUCCCCGAAAGCUAUUUAGGUAGCGCCUCGUGAAUUCAUCUCCGGGGGUAGAGCACUGUUUCGGCAAGGGGGUCAUCCCGACUUACCAACCCGAUGCAAACUGCGAAUACCGGAGAAUGUUAUCACGGGAGACACACGGCGGGUGCUAACGUCCGUCGUGAAGAGGGAAACAACCCAGACCGCCAGCUAAGGUCCCAAAGUCAUGGUUAAGUGGGAAACGAUGUGGGAAGGCCCAGACAGCCAGGAUGUUGGCUUAGAAGCAGCCAUCAUUUAAAGAAAGCGUAAUAGCUCACUGGUCGAGUCGGCCUGCGCGGAAGAUGUAACGGGGCUAAACCAUG